ensembl:lncRNA
CACAGGUGGCCACUACGCGCACAGGAGGGGCAGCGACUGGGGGGUUCCGGUACCCCAAGGCACCCUCUCGGAUCGCUAGAGAAGGCUUUCUCACCAAGGGCGCGUCGACCCCCACCCAAUUCGUCCCCCCCAUCGGGAACCCGCCAAACAAAAGGCGUUUCUUCCCGGGGCCACCAGGACCCAGGGCGGGGGAGAAAGGUCCACGGCAACGGAGUGACACAGGGCAUUCCGGAGCAUUCGCGGUCAGGGCCCACAACAAGGGCCGCCUGCCUUCCCCACGCGCGCUGUUGCUCGUGUCGCCGCCCGGAAGGAGCGCCGCGCCUCCGGGUGAGGCCCGAGAAAAACCGAGGCAAAACACCGGCAGCAACGCGCUGGGCAAGAAACCGACAGUCCUCGCUCAGAGGGGGGUUUUGGCCAAGCGCCACGGCGCCGGCUCGGCCCGCCACGAUCGCUCAACUCGCCCCACCAAGUCAGUCCCCCGCACCCUCCGGGCAACAGCGGCCGUUGCGGGGCGGGAACGACAAGGCGCCCGCUCCCCACAGCGGGGGGAACGGGUGUGCCUCCCUUCACCGAUUCUGCCACCCGCCCACCUCGGGCAUCUCCGCCAAUGGCGGUGACCCAAAGGGGGGUCCGCUGGGAACAGGGAACGGCACCACCACUCGGCUUCAGGCACCUGAGACGACCUGGAGCGCUCCAGGGGCACCACGGAGGGCCAGGCGCCACGCGCUCAGCACGCCCAGGCGGCGAGCAGCGUGGCAUCGGGUGCGCCCCCCCCACCACGGGGAGGAGGUCACCCACCACAAACAGCCAGGAGAGGCCAGCGAGAGUGUCCGCUGCGUCAGCCGACCCCAGUCCCGCAGCGACGGGAGGCCGGGGUCGGGCCGGAGUCCGCACCCCUCUGCACCCCCCCGCACCGCCCACAGGCGGGAAGGAGGAGCAUGGGGCCCGCAGGCAGAACGAGAAGAGCGGUCCCACCCACCAGGAGUGUCCGUCCCUCGUCUGACACGGCUUAGGCCCGGCCCGGGAGAGCGCGAGAUCACCACAUCGAUCGGUUACCGCCACACGAGGCAGUCCUGGGGUGAGGGGAACAGGCAGCCGGACAACCCACAAGAGAAAAGGGGAACGCCUGACACGCGGCACGGAGCCUUGCGAGGGUGGGUUUGUCACGGCCGCGGCCGGGUGCCCACAGCGGGGAGCGCACAGGGUAGAAGACCCACGCCGCCUCCCCACGCCGCCCUCGGGUGCCAGAGACCGGAGGUGGCGCCACAGCCUGGACCACACCUGGAUGCACAAGAGCCGGCGCGCAGGCCCAGGCAGACGGCUCGAGCAAGCAGGCAGGCAAGGGCGGAGUCGGGUCCGGCUCAGCGUCACCGCCAAGCCCGGAGCCCACGCCAGGGACGACGAGGCCCAAGUCUCUCUUACGGCAUGACCACCGCCACAUCAGAACGUGUCAGCACCUACCUGGCAGCAAAAAGCACCCCUUUCAGGAGACAAAAAUAACCGCGUUGGCAGGCGGGGCCGAGCCACAGGUCACUGGGACCUUCUGGGACCCUGGCCCGGCCACGAGCCCCAAGCAUCUUCCCAUUGCCGCCGAGCAACCACCUCCCCCCCGGAAGUCCCCGGGGGCCAUCUGGUCGACCCCAGGACCGACCGACCGACCGACCAGGGAAUCGCGGGAUUGGGGGGGGCUGCCCGGGUAGGCCCUGCCCCGUUACACGUUCGCCCGUGCACGGGUCGUCUCCGGGUCGGGACUUAGAAAAAUAAAACACUCCGCGCUGUCGCCUGCA